GGCUCAGAAUGAACGCUGGCGGCAGGCCUAACACAUGCAAGUCGAACGGGCACCUUCGGGUGUUAGUGGCGGACGGGUGAGUAACGCGUGGGAACGUGCCCUUUGGUUCGGAAUAGCCCCGGGAAACUGGGAGUAAUACUGGAUAAGCCCUUCGGGGGAAAGAUUUAUCGCCAAAGGAUCGGCCCGCGUUGGAUUAGGUAGUUGGUGGGGUAAUGGCCUACCAAGCCGACGAUCCAUAGCUGGUUUGAGAGGAUGAUCAGCCACACUGGGACUGAGACACGGCCCAGACUCCUACGGGAGGCAGCAGUGGGGAAUCUUAGACAAUGGGGGAAACCCUGAUCUAGCCAUGCCGCGUGAUCGAUGAAGGCCUUAGGGUUGUAAAGAUCUUUCAGUGGGGAAGAUAAUGAC
rnacentral:rRNA from 1 species